rnacentral:rRNA from 1 species
GACGAACGCUGGCGGCGUGCUUAACACAUGCAAGUCGAACGGAAAGGCCCUGCUUUUGUUGGGUGCUCGAGUGGCGAACGGGUGAGUAACACGUGAGUAACCUGCCCUUGACUUUGGGAUAACUUCAGGAAACUGGGGCUAAUACCGGAUAGGAGCUCCUGCUGCAUGGCGUGGGUUGGAAAGUUUCGGCGGUUGGGGAUGGACUCGCGGCUUAUCUGCCUGUUGGUGUGGUAGUGGAUUACCAUGGCUUUGACGGCUAGCCGGCCUGAGAGGGAGACCGGCCACAUUGGGAUUAGGGUAGGAGCAGGACUCAUACGGGAGGCAUGAAUGGAAAUCAUGGCAAAAUGGGCGGAAGCAGUAUACAGCGUCGUCGGGUGGGGAAUGACGGUCUUCAGGUUGGAAACCGUUUGCGCCUGUAAAGAAGCGAGAGUGACGGUAAUGGAUAAAAAAGCAACGGCUAACUACGUG